UUCCCCAAACUGCAACAGCUCAAACUCCAUGGAAAACUCCCAUGUGUUGCAUUGUCCUUGCGCACAAGCGCUCUCGGUGCAGAGCCGUGGGACCGUCGCUGCAUGCCCUCUUCCCCAAUGUUGUCGAAUACAUUUCCGUUUGCGAUCCGUUUUCGAGCUUCGAGGGAUCGAAGAUCAAGAGUUGGUGACCAAGUGAUCUGGCUCUUCGAGUUCCACGAAGCUGAAGACCCUGAGCAUCUAUUUGGUGAAGGUUGCCUUUGGUGCAAUCUAUGCUCAGGUAAAGAAGGUGUCGAGGCGGAUCUCCAGGAGUUCCAGGACUUCGACGAGUCCGAGGAUUAGGCUAGCGACCUCCCCCAGUCAGCUGCCUGUGGUGGGUUGUUUACGUUGGCUACGUUUCGAUUCUGUGUACUUUGAUUUAUAUUAUGUAAAUGGCUCUAGUCUGUAAUAUUAUUACUUACUCUUUAUUGUAAUUCGAAGCAUUGUGCUA